rnacentral:rRNA from 1 species
AGAUUGAACGCUGGCGGCAGGCCUAACACAUGCAAGUCGAGCGGUAGAGAGAAGCUUGCUUCUCUUGAGAGCGGCGGACGGGUGAGUAAUACCUGGGAAUCUGCCUGAUAGGUGGGGGAUAACGUUCGGAAACGGACGCUAAUACCGCAUACGUCCUACGGGAGAAAGCAGGGGAUCUUCGGACCUUGCGCUAUCAGAUGAGCCCAGGUCGAUUAGCUUGUGGUGAGGUAACGGCUCACCAAGGCUGCGAUCCGUAACUGGUCUGAGAGGAUGAUCAGUCACACUGGAACUGAGACACGGUCCAGACUCCGUACGGGAGGCAGCGAGGUGGGAAUAGUUAGGACAAGGUCGGGGGAAACCCUGACUCCGAGACCGAGUACGCCGCGGUU